AAAACAACCCGGCAAGGCAGGUAAAUUCAAUGGCCCCUUCCCCCGUGGACCUCAAUGAAAUGGCACCUUGGUUACGCCAAUAUGCUAGGGUCAAUUACAGAGAUGCUAAUUAUUUAUGGGUAGGUUUUAGCUUUGGCUUUAAGCUCGAGUUCCAGGGAAGCCGCACGGGUCGCCUGGCACGAAACUUGCGAUCAGCCACGCACCAAGACACGGCAGGCUACGUGAAACAAAAACUACAAAAGGAAGUCGACCUUGGCAGGAUGGCGGGCCCCUUCAAGGACACCCCCCUAGACAACCUCCAAGUAUCCCCAAUAGGCCUGGUGCCCAAGAAGCAGCCAGGAUAUGGUCAGCACCUGGGUAAGCAUGCGGAGGAAUUCCGUCUAAUUCACCAUCUAUCCUAUCCCAGGGGUAAAUCUAUAAACGACUUCAUAGACACAGAGGCCUGCUCCGUUGUGUACGCCAGAUUUGAUGAAGCUACCCAUAUGGUUCAACAACUGGGAAAGGGAGCACUACUAGCAAAAUUCGACAUUCAGUCGGCCUUUAGAAUUAUACCAGUCCACCCAUCCGAUUUCGAGCUGCUAGGCAUCAGAUUCGAAGGUGAGUUCUAUUUCGAUAAAUGCUUACCAUUUGGCUGCUCCAUAUCUUGCGCCAUAUUUGAAACGUUUAGUACCUUCUUGCAAUGGUGCAUGCAAUCGCAUCUUCCAACGCGUCCGAUCAUGCAUUACCUGGACGACUUCCUAACGGGGGGCACAGCAGGCACCAGCCACUGCUCAGACAACCUCAACGGAUGCGUGAAUACACUUCAACAGCUUGGGGUUCCUAUCGCGCACGACAAGACGGUGGGCCCCACAACCAAACUGACAUUCCUAGGGCUGGAAAUCGACACCAUUGCGAUGCAGAUCAGAAUCCCAGAGCCCAAGAUCAAGGAGGCAACAAGGGAAAUCCAUGACAUCCUGUCAACAGGUAACAUCAAGGUCACAAAAAGGGCCCUUCAGUCCCUCAUAGGCAAGCUUAACUUUAUGUGCAGGGCUAUACCAAUGGCAAGGGCAUUCAGCCGCAGGCUAAUCGAUCUGCUUAGCAAAGGUAAGCAACCAUUUCACCACAUUAGGAUUACCAGCUGGGUCAAGGAAGACCUACAAAUGUGGUUAACAUUUCUUACGAGUUACAACGGCAUUUCAGUGUUUCAGGACCAACUAUGGGUGGACAGCGAUUUCCUCCAGCUGUUUUCAGACGCAGCGGGCGGCGCCGGCUUUGGGGCCUACAUGCAGGGCAAAUGGUUUAACGGCGCAUGGCCAACCCAGUGGGUGACGGAUGGAACUACACGGGACUUGACGCUCCUGGAGCUGUUCCCCAUCACACUGGCCAUCCAAAUCUGGGGCAAGCAACUCGCAAACAAAAAGGUCCUCUUUUACUGCGACAACCAAGCCGUCGUAACAAUAAUCAACAAGCAGUCAACCAAGGCCCCCAGAGUGAUGAGCCUACUCCGUCGCCUAAUCCUGCAAUGCCUCCGAUAUAAUAUUAUGUUUAAGGCAAAGUAUGUAUGUUCCACUGCUAACACUAUUGCCGAUGCUCUCUCGAGGUUUCAGCUCAAACGCUUCCGAGAGGCAGCACCAGCCGCGGACCAGAACCCCACACCUAUCCCGUGCAACAUAUGGCUGAUCUGAGGCAGGAAGCCGGCAGACUCCUACAACAAUCUCUGUGUACUAAUACAUGGGCCACUUACCAAACAGGCAUCAAUGCCUUGCACCAGUUCCGGUCCGCACACCAGCUACAAGAGUUUGGAUGGUGGGAUCCAGCUACAUGGCCAGGGCACGGCAGUACUUGCUCCUGAAGGGCACCAGUCCGAACCAACCGAGGAUGCUAUGGCUGGCACGAGGGGGGAUGAGGUGGAAGGAGCUGGACACCAUUCUGGAUGCACAGGUCAAGGCGACACGGCGCAGCCCCAGAGCCCUCAUCAUUCACCUGGGCUCGAACGACCUGUGCUCGGUCAAGGGCAGCCAACUCUACCUUGACAUGGUGGCAUCAAUCCUCCGGAUACAACUCCAGCUUCCUGACACCAGGAUCAUCGUAUCCUCAAUGCUGCCCAGGCGCUACUGGCACGAUGCCAGGGACCCACUAAAGAUCGAGGGGAUGCGGAAGAAUAUCAACCGCCGACUGGCCAACCGAGUCAAAGAGCUCGGCGGUACAAUGGUGCCACAUCCCCAGAUCCUGGCAUCAGACAAGACAUGGUACGCCUGGGAGGGCGUCCACCUCAGCGACAAAGGACUGUGUGUGUUUACGGACAAUUUAUUGCAUGCCCUGGCGCUCGUUUUGCGCCAGUAAGGAUAUUAUCUCCACAGGUUAGUGUUUCCUUUCAGUACAUAGGCAAGCCGGGCAACAAUGCUAUCUCCGCGUAUAGCGUGGCCGUGGGUGUGGGG
rnacentral:misc_RNA from 1 species